AUGGAGAAGGAGGAGGUCCCGCGGGCCGCGCCCGGCAAGAGAGAGCCCGGUGGAAUCGCGGCGCAGCGAGCGCGGAUCAGCGACUCCGGCGAGACCGCGGACGAUUUCAUCAGCAGGCUCCCCGACGUAGUCCUCUGCACCAUCAUCUCCCUCCUCCCCACCAAGGACGGCGGCCGCACGCAGGCCCUCUCCCGCCGGUGGCGCCACCUGUGGCGCUCCGCGCCCCUCAACCUCGAGGUCCUCACCCGGCUUCCAGACGACCCCAUCCCCACCCACUCCGUCUCCCCCUCCGCCGUCUCUGACAUAAUCUCCCGGCACCACGGCCCCGCCCGCCGGUUCUACUUCCACUGCCUCCGGGACGACGAGGUCUACGCCCAGGCGGAAAGCUGGUUCCUCUCCAGGGCCCUCGCCAACCUCCAGGAGCUUGAUGCCAGCUACGGCAACCUCCCGCUGCUGCCGUCAGCGCUCCGCUCGGCGUCCACCCUCCUCGUUGCCAAGAUCAGCCACUGUGAUCUCCCAGGCGAGAUUGUUCCAAGCUUUCCCCUCCUCAAGCAGCUCACCCUAGUGUACGUUUCCAUCUCAGCGGACGGCUUCCACACACUGCUCUCUAGUUGCCAUGCCUUGGAGAGCUUAUGUAUGUCCCAAGUUCGUGCUGCCGGUUGCCUCCGUGUUAGCUCGCCAACUCUUAAGAGCAUUGGCUUCCGUGAUAACCACAGUGAGGAAACAGAGCUGGUCAUAGAGGAUGCUCCUCGCCUUGUGAGGUUACUAUUACCCUAUUGUUAUCUAGAUGAUUGUGUGACUAUCAGGGUAAUUUGGGCGCCUAAGCUGGAGAUAAUGGGCCCUUUUGCAGCCUUCGUCUCCAAGCUCCUACUCUUCCAGAGAAAAAGCCCAGUCAGCUCAGCAAACUCGAUGCACACUGUGAAAGUUUUGGCUCUCAAAUCUUCUGAAAAUAAAUUGCACGCAGUUCUUAACAUCCUCAGGUGGUUCCCCUGUUUGGAAAAGCUCUAUGUCACUUUUCAUAAACGCUAUGAGAUGGGUGCGAAAGAUGAGCCUCAGUAUGACCCACAGCAUCCAAUUGAAUGCCUACAGACCCAUCUCAAAAAUGUGGUGUUUAAGUUAUAUUCGGGCAAUGGGAAACAGGUUGACUUUGCCAGAUUCUUUGUUUUGAAUGCGGAAGUGCUAAACAAAAUUGUAUUUGAAGUACAUGGUGACUACAGCAGUGAAUCAGUGGCUUUUCAGCACGGGCUGCUACAUGUGAAAAACAGAGCUUCUCGAGAUGUUCAAUUUGAAUUCAGGAGUACACAUGUUCGUAAUAAGUACCUUGGUGACGAGCAUAUCCAUGAUUUGUCAGUGUCCGACCCCUUCAGACAGCCAUAG
rnacentral:rRNA from 1 species